rnacentral:lncRNA from 1 species
UUCCAGACCCUUCUUAAAUAUUAUCGUGUAUACCAGCUUUAUUAUUUAGCUCUGCAAUACUGCUAAAUUGGUCAAUUACUUCCCUGCCUCCCCACCCUCCAACUGAAUUCUCACCACCCUUGAGGGAAAACAGUCUGGGUUCCCUGUGGAACAUCAUUUCUCAAAACUGUAUUUUGGGGCUUGCUUUCUCAUUUUUCCUUUCCAUUUCAGAUAUCCUUACUGCUGUCUUUGGGCUCUUUAAACACUGCCUUUUUUCCUUUUUCGAUCACACCCAAAAACUUUUCUCAAAAAUUACAUGUAAAUUUAAAAAUUUACAAAUUAAAUUUAAAAUUGAAAUUUUAAAAAUCCCGACUCUCCCUAAUUUCAGGAAGCAUGCAUUUAUUAUACAUAACAAGACGUGAAAGCCGCAAGAGUUUCAGCCUAAACACUGAAGACCCCGCGAAGUGAAUCCAGCUGCUGCUCUACAAGCAGCAACAACAACUGGGAAGCCUUCUCAGCUACACUUCGGGGCACUGGUCCAACCCCACGCAAAAUCCCUCGUUUCCCUUAGCGUGGUAAGACGGAGCCUGACCUGAGCUCCAACUGUCCUAUCUUUUUCAAAUGUUUCAAACUUACUGCCUUUGUUCAGCAGAACCACGGGCACGGUGAUGAUGGUGACAAGCGCAGCAGCACCCAGCAGUCCCAGAAGAACCUUCCACGGUGUCUGCAAGCCGAGCAGAUCAAGUCCAAUUAGAGGGAAGCGUGUGGCCCCAGUUUCCGUAGGAGGGUCGGGGCUGCUCCAGAGGCAGCAGGAUUUGCAGGAAGGAAGACUGUACACAGAGAAUAAAUAACUUGGCCAAGCCAUUCAGCUAGGAAGUUGUAGAUCCUAAAUUAAGAGUUCAAGGUCUUAAUGGCUACUCUAUGCGGCCUCUCAUAGUCUUUUCAAGGGUUUUGGAGAAGAAUAAAAGAUCAGUUGCUUGUGAUACAUCAGUAUCCUCACUCACCCCCAACUCCAGAGGCUGAAACUAACUCUCCUCCUCCCUCUUCCAACUGCUGAGGAAGAUGAGUCAAUGGUGUUACUGGACCCUGUGAACUGAUGCUGUGAAGAGAGGCCAUUUAACACGGACUACGGGGAAUGGUGCCACAGGGGGCUCAGUGCUGCCCUUCACUCUCAGCAUUUUGCUCACUCAGCAUUGAUGACAGGAUGUCCCAAAAGUAACAAAAGAUGGGAGCCAGUCCUCUCAUAGCUGUUUCUUCAAUCAUCCCAUCAACAGCUCUUCAUUUAUUGAACUACCUUCCUUUUCCAAAGAGGUAAUGCUGAGAUCAGUCAGAAAGGCUUUCUGAGAAA